GCGGGGACUGGAAGUCUUCACAGUGUAAAACACACAAACUCAUCCUCACACUCACUGCAGUGGGACUUUAACUGGACCGCUGGAUCUUACGAGUUGAGCGUUUGUUUGUUUUUUUCAUCAAAGAAACGAUGUCACAGACAUGCUGAAAAUUAUCUACAGACCGUACAUUUAACCACCUCCAGCGGUUUCUCAUCUACUUUUUGUUGCGGAAUUUGGAGAGGAAAGUAGUCCCGUCCAUCACAUACAACACUUAUCAACAUUUGAAUGCUGUUGAGUCUUUAAAACAACGUAUUCAUCGACGUUGUAAGGUUCAGACAGAAUGAGGGAGUUAUGGGGAAUAAUAACAGGACGUUGGGUCACACUGUGGAUUAUGGAGCUGAUGAGGAAAAGUGUAUCAGGUGUAAUAAUGAAGAGGAAAAACAAACUGUACGGUGUGAUUCAGGAAGACACUGGAGGAUAAUCUGAUCUUCUAGAUGAAACUGGUUCAGGUCAACAAGACUUGUGCUGAACUUUGCAUGGGUGGUGUAUGCAACUACUCCACAUCACUACCAGAUUUCCUACAGAAGGAGGACUGUUAUUACAGCUGGAAAUCACAGGAUGGGACUGUGCUGGGCAAGGAAAGAUUUUUGACUCGUGAUGACUGUGAGAGUGGAAUUCACAAAGUUGUACGGUGUCUUAAUCCAAGUUAUGUGAGGGAAUACAUCUUUCACAUUUUCAACAGCACUACGCCAACCCCUGAAGCUGCUAAUAUGCGCGAAAGCAUGUACACCACUGUGAACCCUGACCCUCCCCAAUCUCAAAGCAACACCAUCGUCUCCAUCUCCAUCAUCGUGGUUGCCAUUCUGAUCGUAGGCCUGAUUGUAGGAAUGUGCUACAGAAAACGAAGGGUGAUAGUAGGACUCAGGGAGAAAUUGAUUUGUGGCUGCUGUCAAGGAGCAGAUGAAAAUAACAGGUCAGACAUCCCACUUGGGGACAUUGAACCAAGAAACAAUGAAGAUGAUGCUCAACUGAACACCUCAAAUACUGAAAGCGUGGACCCUGGUGAUGCGAGCGCUAACCGCUUUAUGAACGGUGAUGUUAGAACUGAAGAAGCUCGACCACUCCGACUGCAUCCUUACAGUGUAAGAGUUAAACCUUUACUUCUGUACGUAGAUGAACAGGACUCAUGGGGAUGAAUAUUACUAGAUGGAUGGAGAUGAUGUGAUGGAUAAGUACAUUAUUAUAUAAUGAGAAGGAGGAAUGUAUAAAUGUAAUGUAUGGAUGAUUUUAUAUAUUCUUUAAUUAUUUUAUUUCUUUACUGUGUUUUGUCUGUCAGUGAUGUGUGCAGAGUCGUCGAGAGCGAGUGAGGAUUACGGUUCGGCUUCAGAACUUCUGUCCAGUCUGCUUCUGCCUUUUCUACAGUCGCACUUUGCCGACAGUUUCGCAUCUGGGACACUUUUUAAAUCUGCAUUAAAAUUAAGUAGUUAAACUGAUACUGUGGUAUUAUAGGGCUCUAGAUAAAAGUGUCAUUUUUAAUCAUGACAAAGCAGAUCAAAUUUUAACUUUACACAUUGUUUUUAUACUUUGUAGCGGUAUUUUGGAGUAAAAAUGUAUUUUCAUAUGUAAUACUUGCUAUAUAAAUAACAUUUAUAAGAACUCAUUUUUGCCAAAGAAAGGGAAGAUCAAAGCAAAGAACCCCAAGAUAAAUUAAAAAACUUUUAGCUUCUUUUCUGCACUUUAAAACACUGCACAGCUGUCGGAAUCAAACCUGUAGCAUAGGCUCUUUAAGCUGUAGGUCACCUGACCAUGCCAACAUGACAGAUGUAGUAUGUCCAGAUUGUUUUCAUGCCUACUGCUUAUACUGAUACCUACAUACUGUAUCAGCGGCCGAGCUGUACGUACUGUCAUAUUAUGCAAUUUCAGACACUGGGUGUGUGUGUAUCUCUCAUUCCUGGCUAACUCUUAGGCCACUCAAGACUCGUUCCACUUUAGUUUACUUAUAAGCCCUUUCCUUAACUUGCACUGUAAGGCCCAAACUUUAGACUGGGUCAUCAUCAACUCUACGUUAUCGAAUCGAUGCUAUAAAGAGCACCAAUGGUGCCCAGUGCUGAUUCCUUUUUAUUUUCUCAUUGUGAUUGACCUUUGCUAUCUCCUUUAUUUUUUCUGUCUGUUCUGUAUGUAAUUUAUUUUGUGUGUAAAUUUGUUAGUAUUCUUUAAAUGCUGUCACCAGGUGUAGAGCUCGGCUGUUUGUCUGUUUUGCUUUAUUAUAUUCUUUUUUUUUUUUUUUUUUUUUUACACGGUCGGUGUGUGUGUGUGUGUGUGUGUGUGUGUGUGUGUGUGUGUGUGUGUGUGUGUCUUAGCGGUUAGGGCUCUGGGUUACUGAUUAGGUCGGGGGUUCAAGCCCCAGCACUGUCAAGCUACCACUGUCCCUUGAGCAAGCCUUAACCCUCUCUGCUCUGGGGGCUGACCUUGCACUCUGACCAUAGCUUCUUGACAGGCUGGGGUAUGUGAAGAAAAGAAUUUCACUGUGCUGUAAUGUAUAUGUGAUCAAUAAACACUCAUUAUUCUUAGCAGUGUCUUUUCCACCUUUUAUCCCAGUCAAACUUAUACCUGUUAUCAUCCUCAACCCUAGACUGGGGUGUAUCACUAUCCUCUAUUCCAGAAAAUCUGAGACAGCAAUACUAGAGACACAAUUUUUUAGAAAGUAAAAAGUCUUCUUUUUACAGAAGGAAGGGAAUUGGUGGAGCGACCAAUCAUAACCCUGUAACAUGAAGCCUUCUUUCUACCCCCAAAAUAGUCAAAUUGAACUUGGCUCA
ensembl:lncRNA